rnacentral:lncRNA from 1 species
AAAUCUCACACUUGGAGAACUUGGCAUAAAGCAAAUUUUCUUGCAGCAUCUAUAAUAUAGUUUCACGAAAUCCUUGUGUUUUUCCUCGACUACGAGGUAACAUUAUCAAUAAACACUGUGAGAAAUCUGCCCAAAAACAUAAUGGACGCCCUAUUCAUUAAGUCCAACAAUGCAGUUGGAGUAUUGGUAAGUCCAAAAUAUAUCGGAAGGAACUCAUAAAUUAUUAUACCGGGUUUGGAAUGCUGCCCGAGGAAUAUAUAUUCUCUGAUACUAAGUGAUUCAUUAAGCAGAUCAUUUAUAUGAGGCAAUAGGUACUUAUAGCGCACAUUUACCUUUUCAAUUAUUUUUUUUAGUCGAUGCAAACCCUUAAUGACCCAUCUUCCUCUUUCACAAAUUGUACUAAUGGUGCACCCCAUGAAAUUAUAUUCAAUCUAAUAAAACUACUGUUUAUUAGGUCUUGGAACUAUUCAUUUAGCUCUUCCUAACUCUGUUGGUGUCACGCCACAUGGGGUUUCGAUAUAGGUUAUGUUAGGUAUCAAAUCGAUGCUAAAGUCUAUUUCUGCUACCGAGGUAUUCCUGGUAAAUUCUUCAAAAAUAUAUUAAAGAAUUCUCUAGCUAUUGGCACAUUUUCCAAGCAAGGUGUCUUAUCCCUUAUAUCUCUUAUCAUAGCUAAGAGACCCCAACAACCAUUCUUUAGUAUUGUUGAACUUUGAUACAUGAUAUUACCUUAUUUAUCUUUGGAGCUUGUUUACAUUUUAGGAUGAAACUAGGUUAAUUCAGUAUCCCAAACUUGACUUCCUUUACAUGUAAAUCGAGGGUGGCAUGACAAAGAAGAUAAUCAAUUUAUUUAAAAGUAGACCACAUUAAGUAAUAUUAAGCUGACUCGGAUAUUUUUAUGUUCAACUUGAAUUGAACAAGCUUAUUAAACAUAUUCAGUUAACUCAGACUCUCCCACAUGAGUAACAACCCUAAAGGUUAUUCAAAAUCUCACCGUCUAUGAUUCCAGUUGUCUCGUACUAAAAUACUCGUCAAACGAAGUACCAGUCUUGUAAUUCCUCCCUAAAACUUUUUUGCAUGCUUAUCAUGUCUAUAUUUUCAAUAUUUUUAGUAAUCUAGCUAUCAUAAUUUGUAUACCAGGUUAUUGUCUUAUUUAAAAGGUUAAGCACCCCUUAGAUAAUUCCUUAAGCUUGAGAUAAUGUGUAUCUAGCUAGCUGAGGUAGUCUAGUGUCAUAUAUCGGUAUCCUAGUGUGUUAACCUUGCUUACCUAGUAGAUUCAUGCUUUCGACUUCCAAGAAGAAGCAACUCAUGAAUAGUUUAGAGACUUGUUCGGUUGUUUCAAAUCAAUUGUGUUGCACCAAUUUAUGUUCCUAACAUUACGAUAUCAUACCAUAUAUAUAUUGGCCGUACUCCCUGGGCUGUAAGUUUCUAGUUCCAUGUGCCUCUUAUUAGAGCAUCCCAGAACUCGUCGUGCAAGUAUUUCAUCAAGAACCUAUGAGGAUCCUCCAAACAAUCAGAAAUGUUAAAUGGUUUCUAUUUUUAGGAACUUUAUUAAGGAUAUAUCUCUUUUUUCGACCAUCUUAGUUAACCUAGGUGUUUGAGGCCUUUAAGAUCCCAUU